rnacentral:lncRNA from 1 species
UUUUGCUCUUGCUUUGUCCUAUGGUUUGUACAAGUUUGUGUUUUUCUGGACUUAGGCAAUGCCUGCUGCUUUGGAAAUAUUCAGAAGUUGCAAUGCUGGGAACCAAGAUGUCAGGUUAUUGAAAGGAGAGGACCUACCAGAUAGAACCUGGCUUUGUAGAGCAAAUAAAACCAGACCUCAAGUCCAGGUCUUCCUUGUGGACAGGACAGAACCAAGGCCCAGCUCCCUCCUGACCCACAGCCACAGAUGUGAUUCUGGCAGUGAAGUCCCCUUAACCCCAUGUUUUAACCACUGGAG